CAAGAGGUAGUUUAAAUAAUAAAAUGUUAGUUUUGGAGACUUAUGAUAAAGGUAAUUCUUUUCUCUUGA
rnacentral:tRNA from 1 species